UAGAAAAACUUGUAGCAUUAUUAUCAUUCAUGAGUAACGAUGAACUUUAACAAAGUUAAUCGAUCGUCAGUAACAUCCUAAGCAGCUUCAAAUGUAAAAUUAUUGAGGCAAUCACAGUAAACCACUGAUUUCUCAGCUUCAAAAAUUUUGCAGAAAAACAAAAAUUUGCAAGUAAAGUGCUUGCGAUUCAAUCGCUCAAAGGACAACAGAAGCUCACAUAUUCAAUCCCGUGAAACAAAUUAUAUGAAGCUCUUCUUCUCAAGGAUAGUAACCAGUGAAA
rnacentral:misc_RNA from 1 species